rnacentral:rRNA from 1 species
GUGGGGAAUAUUGGACAAUGGGCGAAAGCCUGAUCCAGCAAUGCCGCGUGAGUGAAGAAGGCCUUCGGGUUGUAAAGCUCUUUUACCCGGGAAGAUAAUGACUGUACCGGGAGAAUAAGCCCCGGCUAACUCCGUGCCAGCAGCCGCGGUAAUACGGAGGGGGCUAGCGUUGUUCGGAAUUACUGGGCGUAAAGCGCACGUAGGCGGUCUUUUAAGUCAGAUGUGAAAGCCCGGUGCUCAACUCCGGAAUUGCCUUUGAAACUGGAAGACUUGAACACGGGAGAGGGGAGUGGAAUUCCGAGUGGAGAGGUGAAAUUCGUAGAUAUUCGGAGGAACACCAGUGGCGAAGGCGGCUCACUGGACCGGUGUUGACGCUGAGGUGCGAAAGCGUGGGGAGCAAACAGGAUUAGAUACCCGAGUAGUCC